rnacentral:tRNA from 1 species
GCCCAGGUGGUGGAAUUGGCAGACACAGGGGACUUAAAAUCCCCCGGACGAUUACGUCCUUGCGGGUUCGAGUCCCGCCCUGGGUAC